rnacentral:rRNA from 1 species
UACGAAGGGGGCUAGCGUUGCUCGGAAUCACUGGGCGUAAAGGGUGCGUAGGCGGGUCUUUAAGUCAGGGGUGAAAGCCUGAGGCUCAACCUCAGAACUGCCCUUGAUACUGGGAGUCUUGAGUAUGGUAGAGGUUGGUGGAACAGCAAGUGUAGAGGUGAAAUUCGUAGAUAUUUGCUAGAGCACCAGUGGCGAAGGCGGCCAACUGGACCAUAACUGACGCUGAGGUGCGAAAGCGUGGGGAGCAAACAGG